rnacentral:rRNA from 1 species
CACGUAGGGCGCAAGCGUUGUCCGGAAUUACUGGGCGUAAAGAGCUCGUAGGUGGUUUGUCGCGUUGUUCGUGAAAACUCACAGCUCAACUGUGGGCGUGCGGGCGAUACGGGCAGACUAGAGUACUGCAGGGGAGACUGGAAUUCCUGGUGUAGCGGUGGAAUGCGCAGAUAUCAGGAGGAACACCGGUGGCGAAGGCGGGUCUCUGGGCAGUAACUGACGCUGAGGAGCGAAAGCGUGGGGAGCGAUCCGG